ensembl:Y_RNA Y_RNA Y RNA
GGCAAAGGUAGUGAGUUAUCUCAACUGAGCGUUCACAUCAGUUACAGAUAAAAGUCCUUGUUCUAUUCUUUCCCCCUCUCACUGCAGCACUAGAUUAGUCUUUU